UUUGAAACGGUGUGAGACAAAAGAGGGGGGAGAGACUAGGGGCGAGAAGCUCGAAGAAGAUGCCAUCUGAGGUCGCCGGUGAUGAGCCCUUCGCCAUCGGCACUAUCUCCGAGCUCUGCGUGCAGGACACCCGGUGGAGGGAGGGGAUGCAUGCAAAGAUACCAAUUAUCAGAAUCCUUUGGAAUUCAACAAUGAUAUUCACCAUCACAAUUCAAAUAACGACAGCAUCAAUGAAGACCGAGAGCAAACUUUUGAGGACAAUGGUUCUAAUGUUGAGCACUCCAAUGUUGAUUUAACAGAAACAGAUGUAUCAGACGGCAUGUUGUUUGAUGGUUUCAGAACAAUGCUCCAAAAGAUUAGACAAGAAGCAGAGAAGGAUGGUUUUGAAGAAGCAAAGCAAUAAGGUAACUUGUGUUCUGGUUCCAAUUAACGUCUCUGAGCCAUGCCAAAAAAAUCAAAAAGAACUACAAGGGAUUUACACAGGAAAAUUCAAGGGGGUAAAAUUAGCCCUACACACUCGCUCUGUACUGCCCCGACAUGUUUUCUCCUGUAACUUGGUCUUUUUCCUUUGUUCAGA